rnacentral:rRNA from 1 species
GACGAACGCUGGCGGCGUGCCUAAUACAUGCAAGUAGAACGCUGAAGAGAGGAGCUUGCUCUUCUUGGAUGAGUUGCGAACGGGUGAGUAACGCGUAGGUAACCUGCCUGGUAGCGGGGGAUAACUAUUGGAAACGAUAGCUAAUACCGCAUAAAAUUGAUUAUUGCAUGAUAGUCAAUUGAAAGGUGCAACUGCACCACUACCAGAUGGACCUGCGUUGUAUUAGCUAGUUGGUGGGGUAACGGCUCACCAAGGCGACGAUACAUAGCCGACCUGAGAGGGUGAUCGGCCACACUGGGACUGAGACACGGCCCAGACUCCUACGGGAGGCAGCAGUAGGGAAUCUUCGGCAAUGGACGGAAGUCUGACCGAGCAACGCCGCGUGAGUGAAGAAGGUUUUCGGAUCGUAAAGCUCUGUUGUAAGAGAAGAACGAGUGUGAGAGUGGAAAGUUCACACUGUGACGGUAUCUUACCAGAAAGGGACGGCUAACUACGUGCCAGCAGCCGCGGUAAUACGUAGGUCCCGAGCGUUGUCCGGAUUUAUUGGGCGUAAAGCGAGCGCAGGCGGUUAGAUAAGUCUGAAAUUAAAGGCUGUGGCUUAACCAUAGUACGCUUUGGAAACUGUUUAACUUUGAGUGCAAGAGGGGGAGAGUGGAAAUCCUUGUGUAGAGGUGAAAGGCGUAGAUAAAAAGGAGGGAAAACCGCUGGGGCGAAAGCU